rnacentral:lncRNA from 1 species
GUUGAAAUUUGUUUGAAAUUUAUUUUAGUUAAAUUGACUAAGAUUUUACUUGAAAUUAUUUUUUUUCUCCCAAAAUUAUCAUUUUUUCUCUCCAAAAAGGGUGUCCACAUAUAUUUUUGAUUCCAAUGGACAAAAAACCUUUAAAGAUGGAAUAUAUUUUAUCAAGUGGAUUAUUUUUUAGUGGUCCACACACAAAAAAAAACUCUAAAACACAUUUUUUUUCCUCUCAUUUCUCCUAAAAUAGCAAUUUUUUUUUAAAAUCGUUAUCGCUUUAAUUGUUCUCUAUUUUGUAGUAUUCUCUCCGCAAUAUAGCAUGAAAGGAUCUUUUAUUUUACGUUAUAUCUUUUAUUUUUAGAUAGUAAAACUCUAAGGAGUAAGUUUAAGAAUUGAUUGGGGGGGGGGGGGGGGGGGGGGAGUUUAGACAUGGCAAAUACUAGAUUGAUAAAUUUUUUAUCCAGUGUAUCAUUUUUUAGUGAGACUUACACCCAAAAAAACUAAAAUCUUCAUUUUUGUAACAAUUUAUAUCUUCGUAUAUUUUAUCUGAUAUUUAUAUCUUAUCUUAUCUGGUAUUUUUUUUAUAUAGUGCCAAUGGGCACAGGCAAUUACUAGUGUCAUAAUAAGGAACAAAUUAUAAAAAAUUUAAAAUAUAAUUAUGAAUAAAAAAAAUAAAAAAAAUAAUAAAAAAAUAUAAAUUAAAUUUUGAUAACAAAAAAUAUAAAUUUUAAAAUUUUAACUCAUGACUCACAGUAGUCCACAAUACGACAAAAAACCAUUUUCAAAAAAUAAAAUUUAUUUUAUUUCAAAAAUAAGAAAAAAUCAAAAAUAAUGUUUUCAAUAAUAAAAAUAAAAAAUUUGAUUUUUGAAUUGAUAGGUCAAAAAUUGAAUUUUUGUAAUUCCAUAAUAUGUAUAAAAGUUUAAUUAUAUUAUGCAUUAGCCACACAAUCAUAACACAAUUAUGUUGAUCACCACCGUUAACUUGUUGCUAUUUUAAUUCCUCUAGCCAAAUUUGAAGUCUAUCGAGUUUUGAAAGCAUUUUCAUCCAGGACAUUGAUUCAUUUAUUCAUUAUGAACCGACAAUUUGUCUCCUUUGAUCAAGUACGUAACAAUAAUUACAUUUACUCAUUUUUUUCAUAGUUCCGAUUCGAAAAAAAAAAAUUAUUAUGGAUGGCCGCCAAGUCAUGCAUUAUAGGACGAUUACCUUCAUAGAUGCCACCGAAUGGAUCCGAGAUCAGGUGAGUGUCGACAGUUAUUCGCCACUAUUUUUGGGUAAAAUUAUGAAAUUGAAAAGAUAUGAAAUCAUAAUAAUUUACUUCAAACAUUCAGUAAAUCGAGUCUGCACCUAACUUUCAAUCCUAUACAUCGAACUUGGUUCUGAACCAACCUAGUAUGCUAUAGGAUAAUGUACGAUAGCCAAACGAGCGCAACACAAUUAUGUUGAUCACCACCGUUCACUUUGUUUGUCUUACUAUUUUAAUCAAUCUCGCCAAAUUUGAAGUCUAUCGAGUUUUGAAAGCAUUUUCAUCCAGGACAUUGAUUCAUUUAUUCAUUAUGAACCGACAAUUUGUCUCCUUUGAUCAAGUACGUAACAAUAAUUACAUUUACUCAUUUUUUUCAUAGUUCCGAUUCGAAAAAAAUUAUUAUGAUGGCCGCCAAGUCAUGCAUUAUAGGACAUUACUAUUCAUAGAUGCACCGAAUGUGAUCCGAUCAGGUGAUUGUCGACAUUUAUUCGCCACUAUUUUUGGGUAAAAUUAUGAAAUUGAAAAGAUAUGAAAUCAUAACGGUUUAGAUCAAACAUUUAGUAAUCGAGUCUGCACCUACCUUUCAAUCCUAUACAUCGAACUUGCUUGCUUCUGAACCAGCCUAAUAUGCUAUAGGAUAAUGUCCGAUAGCCAAACGAGCGCAACACAAUUAUGUUGAUCACCACCGUUCACUUUGUUUGUCUUACUAUUUUAAUCAAUCUCGCCAAAUUUGAAGUCUAUCGAGUAUUAAAAGCCUUUUCAUCCAGAAUAUUGAUUCGUUUAUUCAUUAUGAAUCAAUAAUUUAUCUCCUUCGAUCAAGUACGUAACGAUAAUUACAUUUAUUCAUUUUUUUCAUAGAGGAUAUAAUCACUCUUACUUCAAAUCUAAAUGGUACUGAUGGACGUCAAGUCAUGCAUUAUAGGACAUUAUGAAUAACAAAAAUUUUAAUCAACCUAGUAUGCUAUAGGAUAAUGUACGAUAGCCAAACGAGCGCAAUACAAUUAUGUUGACCGGCACAGUUCACUUUGUUUGUCUUACUAUUUUAAUCCCUCUCGCCAAAUUUGAAGUCUAUCGAGUAUUGAAAACCCUUUCAUCCAGGAUAGUGAUUCAUUUAUUCAUUAUGAACUGGCAAUUUUUCUACUUCGAUCAAGUACGUAAUGGUAAUUACAUUUAUUCAUUUUUUUAUAUAGUAUAUAAUCACUCCUACUUCAAAUUUAAACAGUUCCAAUUUGAAAAAAACUAUUAUGAUGGCCAUCAAGUCA